rnacentral:tRNA from 1 species
GGUUUAAUAGUCAAUUAUGAUUUUAAAUUGCAAAUUUAAAGGUAAACACGAUUUAUGUUUUUAAACUU